rnacentral:sRNA from 1 species
UGUGGUUAUGGCAAACAGUAAGAAAACAAACUUUCUCCGUUCUAUGACUGCUCUCUUGGACCCAGCUCAGAUUGAGGAACGAGACAGACGACGACAAAAACAAUUAGAGCAUCAGAAAGCCAUCACUGCCCAGGUAGAAGAGAAGCGCAGGAAGAAACAACUGGAGGAAGAGCAAAGAAAGAAGGAAGAACAAGAAGAGGAGCUUCGCUUAGCACAGGAACGUGAAGAGAUGCAGAAACAGUAUGAAGAAGACAUACUUAAGCAAAAACAAAAGGAAGAAAUCAUGACUCUCAAGACAAAUGAGCUAUUCCAGACAAUGCAGCGAGCACAGGAACUGGCACAGAGACUAAAACAAGAACAAAGAAUCCGAGAAUUGGCGCAAAAGGGACAUGACACUUCUAGAUUGAUUAAAAAUCUUGGUGGUAAGGGCUUAACCAGAACUUUAUUAAUAUUUUUAGAAGAUGAUUGUAAAUAAUUCCUUUUUAUCUUUGUUUGGAGACAAGGACUCAUUCUGUUGCACAGGCUAGAGUGCAGUGGUGCCAUCACAGCUCACUGCAACCUCAU